GAUCCCGUAAUAUCAAGAAAUGGGAAUCACUCUUCUUUUCCUCGAUGAAAAGAGAUCUGUGAUCCACUGAUCCAUCGUUACGGACGGAUGGAUCACUACCGUCCCGGUUCCAUCGUCAAAGUUGAUAGGUUUUGAAGUUGAAAGAUGUUCAUCUGUUUAUAGCCUCCUACAAAGGCUGGUCGUUGUCUUAUACGUCGGAUGCAGCAGGAAGUUGGAAAAAUUUGGCACUUCUCUCUGUUGUAACAAAUAUGUUUCUCCCAACGUUACAGUUGUGAUCAGUAUCAUGUCGAACUAUACUUGCAACUACGGCAACGAUAGUGACAUAUGUGGUCUUCAACAGGGAGAUGACCAAGCUCACUAAGCAAGAUGCUGCUGCUCUGGCUCUUGAGGGAGUUAAUCUUUUGGUUUUACACUUCAUUUGACCCAUGUUUAGAACUGUAACAAGCACUAAUUGUUUCACAAACGUACUAUAGAUAAAUGACGGUGGAGGGCAAAAACUACCAAGAUGUAUUUAAAAGCUUGCUGCCAAGGAAUACUUUUUUUUCAGAUACGUGCCACUCCAUACAAUUUUGUCCCAAACCACCGUGUCUGGGUCUGCAGUCAGUGAAACCAGUGCCGGCUUUGGGGUGGUGCUGAAGGGCCCACAUACAUUUUAAGCCGGGCCUGAGUGACACCGAGAGUAGCAGCAGCUUCAAAGCUCCAGUUAUUGGAGGGGAAGGUCGAGAAGCUACAGCUUCUGCAAGCAACACGUUUCCAGCGGCGAAGAUAGAAAUCAGAGGCGGUGAAGCAAAGAUAAUAGCCGCAAACACCCCUAAGUGAUAGUUUCAGCAAUGUUCAUACAUUUAAGUUUUCUAAAUUCUUAUGUUUUUACCUAUUUUGAACUUUGGUUUUUCCCUUUUAUUUUCGGCAAAAUACCUCCCACCAAAAAGAUAGUGACUAAGAUUUUAUAUAAUAAAGGCAGCGUUGACAAAAUGUUUAAAACUAAAUGCAUCAUUUCAUGUUUACAUAGAAACAUUGAAGUCAUGUAUACAUGCAUUUUGGCUAAUUUAUUAUAAAUGUAAGUAAACCCUUUAGUUUUAAAUGAAUAUUAUUAAUAAGGCUCCAUA